rnacentral:rRNA from 1 species
UACAGAGGUCUCAAGCGUUGUUCGGAUUCAUUGGGCGUAAAGGGAGCGUAGGCGGCGCGGUAAGUCGGGUGUGAAAUCUUGGAGCUUAACUCCGAAACUGCAUUCGAUACUGCCGUGCUUGAGGACUGGAGAGGAGACUGGAAUUUACGGUGUAGCGGUGAAAUGCGUAGAUAUCGUAAGGAAGACCAGUGGCGAAGGCGGGUCUCUGGACAGUUCCUGACGCUGAGGCACGAAGGCCAGGGGAGCAAACGGG